UUAAUCAAAGGUUGAUGACGGGUACGGAAGAAGAGCCACCGGCUUAAUACGUGGCAAGCAGCCGCGGUAAUAACGUAGGGUGCGAGCGUUAAUCGGAAUUAUGGGGGUAAAGCGUGCGCAGGCCGUUUCGUAAGACAGAUGUGAAAUCCCCGGGCUUAACCUGGGAACNGCAUUUGUGACUGCGAGACUAGAGUGUAGCAGAGGGGGGUAGAAUUCCACGUGUAGCAGUGAAAAUGCGUAGAGAUGUGGAGGAAUUACCGAUGGCGAAGGCAGCCCCCUGGGCUAACACUGACGCUCAUGCACGAAAAGCGUGGGGAGCAAACAGGAUUAGAUACCCUGGUAGUCCACGCCCUAAACGAUGUCAACUAGGUGUUGGGGGAAGGAGACUUCUUUAGUACCGCAGCUAACGCGUGAAGUUGACCGCCUGGGGAGUACGGUCGCAAGAUUAAAACUCAAAGGAAUUGACGGGGACCCGCACAAGCGGUGGAUUAUGUGGAUUAAUUCGAUGCAACGCGAAAAACCUUACCUACCCUUGACAUGUCAGAAAGAUCGUAGAGAUAUGAUUGUGCCCGAAAGGGAAUCUGAACACAGGUGCUGCAUGGCUGUCGUCAGCUCGUGUCGUGAGAUGUUGGGUUAAGUCCCGCAACGAGCGCAACCCUUGUCAUUAAUUGCCAUCAUUUAGUUGGGCACUUUAAUGAGACUGCCGGUGAUAAACCGGAGGAAGGUGGGGAUGACGUCAAGUCCUCAUGGCCCUUAUGGGUAGGGCUUCACACGUAAUACAAUGGUCGGUACAGAGGGUUGCCAACCCGCGAGGGGGAGCUAAUCUCAGAAAGCCGAUCGUAGUCCGGAUCGCAGUCUGCAACUCGACUGCGUGAAGUCGGAAUCGCUAGUAAUCGCGGAUCAGCAUGUCGCGGUGAAUACGUUCCCGGGUCUUGUACACACCGCCCGUCACACCAUGGGAGUGGAAUCUGCCAGAAGUAGGUAGCCUAACCGCAAGGAGGGCGCUUACCAC
rnacentral:rRNA from 1 species